AGCGUACACGGUGGAUGCCCUGGCAGUCAGAGGCGAUGAAGGACGUGCUAAUCUGCGAAAAGCGCCGGCGAGGUGAUAUGAACCUUUGACCCGGCGAUGUCCGAAUGGGGAAACCCAGUGUGAUUCGUCACACUAUCGUUAACUGAAUACAUAGGUUAACGAGGCGAACCGGGGGAACUGAAACAUCUAAGUACCCCGAGGAAAAGAAAUCAACCGAGAUUCCCCCAGUAGCGGCGAGCGAACGGGGAGCAGCCCAGAGUCUGAAUCAGCUUGUGUGUUAGUGGAACGGUCUGGAAAGUCCGGCGAUACAGGGUGACAGCCCCGUACACGAAAGCACACAGGUUGUGAACUCGAAGAGUAGGGCGGGACACGUGGUAUCCUGUCUGAAUAUGGGGGGACCAUCCUCCAAGGCUAAAUACUCCUGACUGACCGAUAGUGAACCAGUACCGUGAGGGAAAGGCGAAAAGAACCCCGGCGAGGGGAGUGAAAAAGAACCUGAAACCGUGUACGUACAAGCAGUGGGAGCACCUUCGUGGUGUGACUGCGUACCUUUUGUAUAAUGGGUCAGCGACUUAUAUUCUGUAGCAAGGUUAACCGUAUAGGGGAGCCGAAGGGAAACCGAGUCUUAACUGGGCGUUAAGUUGCAGGGUAUAGACCCGAAACCCGGUGAUCUAGCCAUGGGCAGGUUGAAGGUUGGGUAACACUAACUGGAGGACCGAACCGACUAAUGUUGAAAAAUUAGCGGAUGACUUGUGGCUGGGGGUGAAAGGCCAAUCAAACCGGGAGAUAGCUGGUUCUCCCCGAAAGCUAUUUAGGUAGCGCCUCGUGAACUCAUCUUCGGGGGUAGAGCACUGUUUCGGCUAGGGGGCCAUCCCGGCUUACCAACCCGAUGCAAACUACGAAUACCGAAGAAUGUUAUCACGGGAGACACACGGCGGGUGCUAACGUCCGUCGUGAAGAGGGAAACAACCCAGACCGCCAGCUAAGGUCCCAAAGUCAUGGUUAAGUGGGAAACGAUGUGGGAAGGCACAGACAGCCAGGAUGUUGGCUUAGAAGCAGCCAUCAUUUAAAGAAAGCGUAAUAGCUCACUGGUCGAGUCGGCCUGCGCGGAAGAUGUAACGGGGCUAAACCAUGCACCGAAGCUGCGGCAGCGACGCUUAUGCGUUGUUGGGUAGGGGAGCGUUCUGUAAGCCGUUGAAGGUGUGCUGUGAGGCAUGCUGGAGGUAUCAGAAGUGCGAAUGCUGACAUAAGUAACGAUAAAGCGGGUGAAAAGCCCGCUCGCCGGAAGACCAAGGGUUCCUGUCCAACGUUAAUCGGGGCAGGGUGAGUCGACCCCUAAGGCGAGGCCGAAAGGCGUAGUCGAUGGGAAACAGGUUAAUAUUCCUGUACUUGGUGUUACUGCGAAGGGGGGACGGAGAAGGCUAUGUUAGCCGGGCGACGGUUGUCCCGGUUUAAGCAUGUAGGCGGAACGAUUAGGUAAAUCCGGUCGUUUUUAACGCUGAGGUGUGAUGACGAGGCACUACGGUGCUGAAGUAACAAAUGCCCUGCUUCCAGGAAAAGCCUCUAAGCAUCAGGUAACAUCAAAUCGUACCCCAAACCGACACAGGUGGUCAGGUAGAGAAUACCAAGCGCUUGAGAGAACUCGGGUGAAGGAACUAGGCAAAAUGGUGCCGUAACUUCGGGAGAAGGCACGCUGAUAUGUAGGUGAAGCCCCUGCGGGUGGAGCUGAAAUCAGUCGAAGAUACCAGCUGGCUGCAACUGUUUAUUAAAAACACAGCACUGUGCAAACACGAAAGUGGACGUAUACGGUGUGACGCCUGCCCGGUGCCGGAAGGUUAAUUGAUGGGGUUAGCGGCAACGCGAAGCUCUUGAUCGAAGCCCCGGUAAACGGCGGCCGUAACUAUAACGGUCCUAAGGUAGCGAAAUUCCUUGUCGGGUAAGUUCCGACCUGCACGAAUGGCGUAAUGAUGGCCAGGCUGUCUCCACCCGAGACUCAGUGAAAUUGAACUCGCUGUGAAGAUGCAGUGUACCCGCGGCAAGACGGAAAGACCCCGUGAACCUUUACUAUAGCUUGACACUGAACACUGGUCCUUGAUGUGUAGGAUAGGUGGGAGGCUUUGAAGCGUGGACGCCAGUCUGCGUGGAGCCGACCUUGAAAUACCACCCUUUAAUGGCUGGUGUUCUAACGUAGACCCGUAAUCCGGGUUGCGGACAGUGUCUGGUGGGUAGUUUGACUGGGGCGGUCUCCUCCCAAAGAGUAACGGAGGAGCACGAAGGUUAGCUAAUCCUGGUCGGACAUCAGGAGGUUAGUGCAAUGGCAUAAGCUAGCUUGACUGCGAGAGUGACGGCUCGAGCAGGUGCGAAAGCAGGUCAUAGUGAUCCGGUGGUUCUGAAUGGAAGGGCCAUCGCUCAACGGAUAAAAGGUACUCCGGGGAUAACAGGCUGAUACCGCCCAAGAGUUCAUAUCGACGGCGGUGUUUGGCACCUCGAUGUCGGCUCAUCACAUCCUGGGGCUGAAGUAGGUCCCAAGGGUAUGGCUGUUCGCCAUUUAAAGUGGUACGCGAGCUGGGUUUAGAACGUCGUGAGACAGUUCGGUCCCUAUCUGCCGUGGGCGCUGGAGAAUUGAGGGGGGCUGCUCCUAGUACGAGAGGACCGGAGUGGACGCAUCACUGGUGUUCGGGUUGUCAUGCCAAUGGCACUGCCCGGUAGCUAAAUGCGGAAAAGAUAAGUGCUGAAAGCAUCUAAGCACGAAACUUGCCCCGAGAUGAGUUCU
rnacentral:rRNA from 1 species